AGAAUGGAGCAUGGCUGCCCCAAGGGCAGAUUAGGACUGGCACUAUGGAGUUCACCCUGGCCACCUGCCCUCAGCUCCUCUGAGAUUGCAGAGCCCCAGCAGGCCAUCCUAGAGCCACUUACCUACCAACCACCGAUUGGAUGACUGAUGAAUCUGAUAAUCUCUCUGGAUAUACACCAAUGAAACUCCUUCAACUCCCCCUGUGCUGGGGGCAAAGUUAGGCAUGCCCAUGCUAAGUAGGGUGUGUCUCACCAGCCACCUGGAGCCCCAUCCUUAUGGUUUCAGGUCUUAGAUUUAAGUCUUUGAUCUACCUUCAGUGGAUUUUUGUAUAAGGUAAGAGAUGAGGAUACCAGUACCAUGCUGUUUUGGUGACUAUGGUCUUAUAGUAUAGUUUGAAGUCAGGUAAUGUGAUGUCUCCAGAUUUGUUCUUUUUGCUUAGUCUUGCUUUAGCUAUUUGGGCUCCUUUUUGGUUCCAUAUGUAUUUUAAGUUUGUUUUUUCUAGUUCUGUGAAGAAUGAUGGUGGUAUUUUGAUGGGAAUUGCAUUGAAUUUGUAGACUGCUUUUGGCCGUAUGGUCAUUUUCACAAUGUUGAUUCUAUACAUCCAUGAGCAUGGGAUGUGUUUCCAUUUGUGUGUGUCAUCUAUGAUUUUUUUCAGUAGUGUUUUGUAGUUUUCCUUGUAGAGGUCUUUUACCUCCUUGGUUAGGUAUAUUCCUCAGUGGUUUUUGUUUGAGGUGUGUGUGUGUGUGUGUGUGUGUGUGUGUGUGUGUGUAGCUAUUGUGAAAGUGGUUGAGUUCUUGAUUGAUUGUCAGUUUGGUCACUGUUGCAGUAUAGCAGUGCUACUGAUUUGUGUACAUUAAUUUUGUAUCCUGAAACUUCGCUGAAUUCAUUUUUUAGUUCCAGAGCUUUUUGGAGGAUUCUUUAGGGUUUUCUAGGUGUAUGAUCUUAUCAUCAGCAAACAGCGACAGUGUGACUUCUUCUUUACCAAUUUGGAUGCCCUUUAUUUUUUCUCUUGUCUGAUUGCUCUGGCUAGGACUUUCAGUACUGUGUUGACUAGAAGUGGUGAAAGUGGACAUUCUUGUCUUGUUCCAGGGGGAAUGCUUUCAACAUUUUCCACUUCAGUAUAAUACUGGUUGUGGGUUUGUAGUAGAUGGCUUUUAUUACCUUAAGGUAUGUCCCUUCUAUGCCAAUUUUGCUGAGGGCUUUCAUCAUAGAAGGAUGCUGGAUUUUGUCAAAUGCUUUUUCUGCAUCUAUUGAGAUGAUCAUGUGAUUUUUGUUUUUAAUUCUGUUUAUGUGGUGUAUCACAUUUAUUGACUUGUGGAUGUUAAACCAUCCCUGCAUCCUUGGUAUGAAACCCACUUGAUAUGGUGGAUUAUCUUUUUGAUAUACUGUUGGAUUUGGUUAGCUAGUAUUUUGCUGAGGAUUUUUGCAUCUGUGUUCCUCAGGGAAAUUGAUCUGUAGUUUUCUUUUUUUGUUAUGUCCUUUCCUGGAUUUGGUAUUAGGGUGAUACUGGCUUCACAGAAAGAUUUACGGAGGAUUCUCUCUUUCUCUAUCUUUUGGAAUAGUGUCAAUAGGAUUGGUACCAAUCCUUCUUUGAAUAUCUGAUAGAAUUCAGCUGUGAAUCCAUCUGGUCCUGGUUUUGUUGGUCUGUUCAGUUUGUGUUUCUUCCGGGUUUAAUCUAGGAGGGUUGUAUAUUUCCAGGAACUUAUCCAUCUCCUCUAGGUUUUCUAGUUUACGCACAUAAAUGUGUUCUAGUAGCCUUGAAUGAUCUUUUGUAUUUCUGUGGUAUUGGUUGUAAUAUCUCCUGUUUCAUUUCUAAUGGAGCUUAUUUGGAUCUUCUCCCCUUUUCUUGGUUAGUCUUGCUAGUGGUCUAUCAAUUUUAUUUAUUUUUUCAAAGAAACAGCUUUUUGUUUCAUUUAUUUUAUGUAUUUUUGUUUGUUUCAGUAUCAUUUACUUCUGCUCUGACCUUUGUUAUUUCUUUUUUUCUUUUUCUUUUUUUCUUUGAGAUGGAGCCUUGCACUGUCCCCUGGGCUGGAGUGCAAUGGCGUGAUCUUGGCUCACUGCAAC
rnacentral:lncRNA from 1 species